rnacentral:rRNA from 1 species
AUUGAACGCUGGCGGCAGGCCUAACACAUGCAAGUCGAGCGGAGCGGGGGACGGGUGAGUGAGGACUAGGAAUUUACCUGUUAGUGAGGUAUAACGCCCGGAAGGAGGCGCUAAUAACGCAGAAUAUCAGAUGAGCCUAGGGCGGAUUAGCUAGUUGGUGGGGUAAAGGCUUACCAAGGCGACGAUCCGUAGCUGGUCUGAGAGGAUGAUCAGCCACACUGGAACUGAGACACGGUCCAGACUCCUACGGGAGGCAGCAGUGGGGAAUAUUGGACAAUGGGCGAAAGCCUGAUCCAGCCAUGCCGCGUGUGUGAAGAAGGUCUUCGGAUUGUAAAGCACUUUAAGUUGGGAGGCGUUACCAACAGAAUAAGCACCGGCUAACUACGUGCCAGCAGCCGCGGUAAUAC